UUUUCAUUAGUAUACAAAGUAUUUUUGACUUCCAAUCAGAAGGCCCUAGAUUAGGAUGGUUUA
rnacentral:tRNA from 1 species